rnacentral:rRNA from 1 species
UUGGAGGGCAAGUCUGGUGCCAGCAGCCGCGGUAAUUCCAGCUCCAAUAGCGUAUAUUAAAGUUGUUGCAGUUAAAAAGCUCGUAGUUGAACUUCAGACCUGACCGGGCGGUCCGCCUAACGGUGUGUACUGUCUGGCCGGGCCUUACCUCUUGGUGAGCCGGCAUGCCCUUCACUGGGUGCGUCGGGGAACCAGGACCUUUACCUUGAGAAAAUUAGAGUGUUCAAAGCGGGCUUACGCCGGAAUACAUUAGCAUGGAAUAAUAAAAUAGGACGUGCGGUU